AUUUUUAAUUGUUUUGGUGCAGAAUGCCCUCAGGAGUAUUACUAUGUGAUGUGCUAGCAGCUGCUAGUAAGACAGUAAGAGUAAGGUAAAUUGAAUUUCGAUGAUUCAACGUCUGGCUGAAACAAUGUAGAUUUCCUAUUUGAUUUAAUCACAAGGCAUCUUGGCAUGUUAGUCUGGGAAGGAACCUGUCAGCUUUAACUUUAAGGCCAAUUUGCUUUUGCAAGCAGCAUAACAAUGACUUUUCAAGAGGAAUACACCAGUGAAUGAAAAAGUUAAUCUUUUUUGUUUCAGCUUUCUUUUACAACAAACCAGAACUGGGACAAAGGUCAGAAAGAUCAUAUUUUAUCAGGGUCCACAGUCACCAUGCAAGGCUGCUCUCAUCCCUCCUCCUGAAUGCUGUCUGCAAGAGGCUUGCAUGAUCUUGGCCAGGAAGCAGAGAACAACACAGUUAGCAACUUCUUAUGUCUUUGGAAGCUCAAAGAUGCUACCAUGACCUGAGCCAUCAGUAGGAGCAAAUUACAAUGGCUUCUCAGUGUCAGCAAUGGGAAAACUGUCUGUUCAGCUUCCCAGUAGCACCUUUUAUCCUACUUUUUAGUUGGACAAAGAAAGUGCAUAGGGACAAACCAAUAUUGUGGAAGGAGAGAGAUGACAUUGGUCCUUAUAACCAAAAGAGAGAAAAUAAACACUUUAAACAUAUCAUUUACUGGAUCAUCAUUUGGUGGGUACACACAAAGAGAGAAUUUAUCUGUUUUUGUCUUUCACCUUUUUUCCCCAAUGCUCAUCUGAAUGUGUUCUCUGUUGCAUUUGUCCUUGCUACAACUUUUUUAUCACAUAAAUGAAAAUAUAUGACACUUACCAAAUUGGAGCAUCUGUAUAGGUAAGAUGAAAUAAUAGUUAUACUCUGCAUUUUUAGAAUUUAGUACAUAUGUGGAAGAACAGAAUCCGAUGCUUACAAACACGAUGAAGCAGUAAAAAUAGAUAAGUAAACAUUUUUACCAAGAAAAGGACCACAAGGAAAGGACUUCUUCAGACAGAGCUACUCUUUCUAUGUAUAACAAAGAACUUGCUGAUCACAGAGUAAACAAACUAAAUGUAAUGGAACAAUACAUUUUUUCAAUGGAACCUUGAAAUAAUGGUGGCUACCCUCUGAAAAGAUCUGGACAAGAAGGAAAUGAUUAAAAUCAGCACUUUUAGUUGUCACUAAGUAUAAUCAAAGUUUCUAUUUCACUCAACCUAUUGCAGAUAACAUAAGGGGUUUUAACUUUGGUCAAGGAAAUCUCUCCCUCAGCAUACAUUCUAUUACAAAGUGCAUAUAUGAUAAUUCAUAGUUGAUUAACAUGAAGAUGAAUUCAACUUCUAUUUUGGAGAUCUAGAUAUUUUGUUUCCUGAGCAAGAAAGAUUUAGUUGUUGCUAUAGUGUAGUUUCCAAUUUAACAAUGCAAGUCACAUGAUAAAAAGUCAUUUACGCAUGGUUGCUAUACAAUAGGAUCUCAAAAUAUAAUUAAAAAUUUUCUAAAACUCCACAGUUCUGAGGGUCUAAGUUCUUUGUAACUUUUCUUUGUUUUCUAAUGUGAAAAGUCAGUUAGCUCAAAGCAAUUAAAUGUCUUAAAAUCUGUAGCAAUCCACUGUACAAAAAAAUCCCAAAAGAACUUUCCCUCAGAAAAUGAACAGCAAGGGAAGAUUCUGUCCUGAAAUAGUCAUAAAUAAGUCACUGUGAAGUUGAUCAAAGUUGUGCACAAAUAUCUCAGGCAGAAUGUGGCUCUAAGUGUUUUAAAUAACUUUUAUAGGUUCAAGUGCUAUGCCAAUCAAAACGAGGAGAAAGAAAUUACAUAUCACAUUAAAUAUAUUUCAUUAAGAGUUUCUUCUGUAUAGUCACACUCUUAGAAAUAGUACCCUCUUAAGGCAGCAGAGGGUGCAAUUCACAAGAUUGUGAAUAAACAGAAGCCCUUGAACAAAAAUAUUAAGAUUUAAAGUUGCAAUGAUUAUAAUUAAGGCUAUGAUUUAGUCAUGGGUAUUUUUAGUAAAAGUCACGGACAGGUAAUGGGCAAUAAACAAAAAUUCUUGGCCCCAUGACCUGUCCAUGACUUAUACUAUAAAUAUCACUGACUAAAUUGUGGGGCGGGGUUCUGCUGGGCGGGAGCGGACUGGGGGGCAUCCCGGGCCAAUAGCACCAGCUGCCCAGGGUCCGCUGUGCAGCGGCUGCUCUGGCCACCCGGGGGGCCACUAGCAGCUGCUGCUCUAGCCACCCUGGGGGCCACUAGCAGCUGCUGCUCUAGCCACCCUGGGGCUGUCUGAGCAGAGGCUAGGAAGACUGGCUCCAUGGCUACUCCAGCAGCAAUCAGUGUGGCUGGCUGCAGGGCUGCCCAAGUGGCUGGCUGCAGAGCUUCUCCAGCAGUGUCAGGUGUGUCUGUCCCUGGAGCCACCUGAGCAGCAGGCCCCGGAGCCAGCUGCUUGGGCGGCCCGGAAGUCAGCCACACUGGCCACUGCAGAAGUCACGGAGGUUGCAAAAAGUCACGGAAUCCGUGACUUCUGCAACAGACAGGGAACCCUAAUUAUAAUUCCUUUUAAGGAGAAUAAAAGAGCUUUCAGAUCAAGCAGAUAUUAAGACACCAAAACACUAAAAACUAAACCUGGUUAAAAAAAUGGUGAAACCCUUCUUAAUGUAUGCAAGAGAACUGGAUAACUCAGAUUGGGGAUAGGUUAUGGAGCCUUUCACCUCUAAAGCAUUUGCUCCAAUUGGGGUCAUGUUGAGGGAAUAGCUGGCUUGUGUGGGAGGGUGAAAGCAGAAGGGGGAUAUGGGGCCUUUCACCUUAGGGCACCAGUUCAGAUCUGACCAUCUGGUAGUGACUGACAGUCGUUACUAUUUCAUCAGUCUUGUGAAAUGAGGUUAUUGUCUAAUUCCAGUUCCUGAUGAACCAGUCCAUAUCACAAUUGAUCUCCCUAAUGGUAGUAUCUAUAGUGAGACUACUGAAUGAACAGGAGACAGGUUAUCCUGAGAGCAUGGCUAGAAAGGCAACAUCUGAGAAUCCAAUGCACAUACUGACGUGCCUUCUGGUAUUUUAUUCCAUUUGCAUACAAAAAAAAUUGGAAACUUCCAAAUAAAACGCAUAGAAGUCCUGUUAUUAAUUUCUGCAGUCAUUCACAAUGUACAGACUCAAUGUACUUAAAGCUACAAAGCCAAGAUAAGGAUGAAAUAUUUGUAUUAGCUCCAACUUCCAAAAAAUGUCACCUUCAAGCCGACACAAGGCCUGACAGUUAAUGAAAGUUACAAGAGAAUGAAAACAGCUGGUUAUAACGGUGAUAAUGCUCAUGCAACCUAUAGCGCUCCAGCUAUAAUAAUGCCUGCACAUUGGAGUAAGCUGUCAGACUUGUAUGUGUGUGUGCGCCCACGUGAGCAGUCAGAGAUUUUUGCCUUAGGACCAGCUGUGGCGUCCCCUUGAGUCCCAUGCUCAUGUGUUGGUAUAUCGGGUGCCACUGGCCCUAAACCCUCUCAGCUUCUUCUUGCCGACAACUCCGACAGAGGGGAAGGAGGGUGAGUAAUGGAAUAGACAUUGAGCACCACAUCUUGAAGAACAAUCAUUACAAAAAAGGUGGAUAACUGUUUUUUCUUCUUCAAGUGCUUGCUCAUGUCAAUUCCAUUCUAGGUGACUCACAAGCAGUAUCAAUGGAGGCAGGUUCAGAGUGCAUGGUCUUGCAGUUUGCAGCACUGCUCUGCCAAAGCCAGCAUCGUCUUUAGCUUUCUGGGUAAGCGCAUAAUGAGAUGCGAACAUGUGGACAGACGACCAGGUAGGGGCUCUUCAGAUCUCUUGGAUUAGUACCUGUGCCAGAAAGGCCGCUGAUGACGCUUGUGCCCUAGUCGAGUGUGUCGUCAUGAUUGCCGGUGGAGGCACUUUAGCCAGCUUAUAGCAGUAGCAGAUGCAGGCUGUGAUCCAGGACGAAAUCCUCUGAGCAGACACCAGGCGACCUUUCAUUCUGUCUGCCACCGCUACACACAACUGCACUGGCUUAUGGAACGGCCUUGUUGUAUCUAUAUAGAAUGCCAGCACCCUCCUGAUAUCCAAGAGGUGUAGCCUGCACUCCUCAUCCGAUGCAUGAGGCUUUGGAAAGAAGAUGGGCAAGUAUAUAUCCUGGCUAGUAUGAAACUGGGAAAUGACCUUGGGCAGAAACGAUGGGUGCGGUCACAGCAGGACCUUAUCCUUGUAGGAGACUGUAUAGGGUGGCUCCGAAAUAAGCACUCUGAUCUCAGACGCCCUGCAGGCUGACAUAAUCACAACCGGGAAUGAAACUUUCCAGGCGAGAAGUAGGAGAGAGCAGAAAGCCAGAUACUCAAAUAGAGACCCCCCCCAUGAACGUCGACAACACGAGAUUCAGGUCCCAGGAGGGACAGGAUCCUGGACAUGUGGGUAGAGAUGCUCCAGACCUUUCAAAAACUGUGCCAUCAUGUUGUGAACAAAGAUUGACCUGUCUUGGAAUGGAGGAUAGAAAGCCCAUAUAGUGACCAGGUGGACCUUGAUUGAUGACAGGGACAAACCUUGAAGUUUGAGGUGCAGCAGAUAAUCUAGGAUCUCCUGAAGCAUGGCCCAGCACGUGAAUCUUUUCCAUUUAGCCAGGUAAGUCACUCUGGUGGAGGGUUUCCUGCUACCCAGCAAGACCUUCUGGACAAGGGCCGAGCAUGCCCGUUCAUCUGUGCUUAGCCAUGCAGUAGCCAAGCCAUCAAAUGCAGCGCUGCCAGGUUGGGAUGCAAAAGGCUGCCAUGGUUCUGUGAUCUGGCCAGAGGGGCAGCUGCAGCGGGGUGGCUACCGAAAGGCUCGGCAAUGUGCCGAACAAGUGAAAAAGAGGCCAUGAAGGGGCUGUUAGGGUAACUUUUGCCCUGUCUUGCCUGAUCUUCACAAGGACUCUGUGAAUCAGCAGCACUGGCAGGAAGGUAUACAUCAGUCCCCCUGACCAUGGAAUGAGAAAGGCAUCUGACAGGGAGCCCCUGUCCAUUCCCCAGAUUGAACAGAACAUGUGGCACUUUCUGUUCUGCCUGGAUGCAAACAGGUCCACCUGAGGAGUCCCCCACCUCUGGAAUAUUAUACUGAUCACUUCUGGAUGGAGUGACCACUCAUGGUGAGAGAACAGAUCCCUGACGAGGCUGCCAAGGUCUUGGUGGUGGGGGCAGCCAGAAAUGCUUCUGUGCAGACUGCAGCAUAUGCAUGCCCAGUGAGUGAAGGGUGGCCCGAGUGUCCUUCAACUCAUGCAACCUCAUAUCCAUUUGUUUGGAGAAGAAACCAUUCCCAUUGAAUGGGAGGUCUGGAUCUUGAAUGGGAGGAAUGGAUCGAGAUCUGCAUCUCUUGGGAAAGCCCAGUGGUCUGAAGCCAGGAGUUGCGUCUCAUAACCACCGCCGCUGUGACCACCUUAGCCACCGAGUCCCACACCACCUGAAGGGACCAUCUAGCCGCUGCAGUGCCUUCCUCCACCAGGGUGCCAAAUUCUUGGGCCAAAACCUACGGGAGGGACUCCUUGAACUUAUGGAGGGAGUAUCAUGAAUUAAAAUUGUACCUGCCCAAAAGGGCCUGAUGGUUCCCCAUCUGGAAUUGUAGGUUGGCAGUGGAAUAAAUUUAUCUCCCAAAAA